GACGUCAUCCCCACCUUCCUCCCCGUUGCCGGGGCAGUCUGAAUAGAAAAAUACAACUAUUCACAAGGGUUGCGCUCGUUGAUGGACUUAACCAAACAUCUCACGACACGAGCUGACGACGGCCAUGCAUCACCUGUCACCAAGUUCAAUAAAGCACUCUCGUCUUUCGACAAAAUUCUUGGGAUGUCAAUCCCUGGUAAGGUUCUUCGGUUAUCAUCGAAUUAAAGAACAUAAUCCACCGCUUGUGCGGCUCCCCGUCAAUUCCUUUAUGUUUUAGUCUUGCGACCGUACUCCACAGGCGGGAUACUUAACGCGUUAGCUUCGCUACUGGGGGGGUCGAUACCCCCAACAGCUAGUAUCCAUAGUUUACGGCGUGGACUACCAGGGUAUCUAAUCCGGU
rnacentral:misc_RNA from 1 species